CCUACGGGAGGCUGCAGUGAGGAAUAUUGGUCAAUGGGAGAGAUCCUGAACCAGCCAAGCCGCGUGAGGGAAGACGGCCCUAUGGGUUGUAAACCUCUUUUGUCGGAGAACAAAACCCGGGACGUGUCCCGGACUGCGUGUAUCCGAAGAAAAAGCAUCGGCUAACUCCGUGCCAGCAGCCGCGGUAAUACGGAGGAUGCGAGCGUUAUCCGGAUUGAUUGGGUUUAAAGGGUGCGUAGGCGGUCCGUUAAGUCAGCGGUAAAAUUGCGGGGCUCAACCCCGUCGAGCCGUUGAAACUGGCAGACUGGAGUGGGGGAGAAGAAGGAGGAAUGCGUGGUGUAGCGGUGAAAUGCAUAGAUAUCACGCAGAACCCCGAUUGCGAAGGCAGCCUUCCGGCGCCCUACUGACGCUGAGGCACGAAAGUGCGGGGAUCGAACAGGAUUAGAUACCCUGGUAGUC
rnacentral:rRNA from 1 species